AUGAAGACAUCCAUUCAAGCUUUAUUCCCGUUCUUGUGGCUGCAGCUGGACUGUUUGAGCCGAGGAGAGAAUGUGGAGCAGCAUCCUUCUACCCUGAGUGUCCAGGAGGGAAACAGCUCUGUUAUCAACUGUACUUAUUCAAACAGUGCCUCAAUCUACUUCUCUUGGUAUAAGCAAGAACGUGGAAAAGGUCCCCAGCACGUUAUAGACAUUCAUUCAAUUAUGAAGGAAAAAGAGGACCAAAGACUCACUGUUUUAUUGGAUAAGACAGCCAAACAUCUCUCCCUGCACAUUGCAGCCACUCAUCCUGGAGACUCAGCUGUCUACUUCUGUGCAGCGAGUACACAUUGCUUCCCAGGCACCUGCAACCUGUACACAAACCUGUGACUGGGGCA